rnacentral:rRNA from 1 species
UUAAGCGACUAAGCGUACACGGUGGAUGCCCUGGCAGUCAGAGGCGAUGAAGGACGUGCUAAUCUGCGAUAAGCGUCGGUGAGGUGAUAUGAACCGUUAUAACCGGCGAUUUCCGAAUGGGGAAACCCAGUGUGUUUCGACACACUAUCAUUAACUGAAUCCAUAGGUUAAUGAGGCGAACCGGGGGAACUGAAACAUCUAAGUACCCCGAGGAAAAGAAAUCAACCGAGAUUCCCCCAGUAGCGGCGAGCGAACGGGGAGGAGCCCAGAGCCUGAAUCAGUGUGUGUGUUAGUGGAAGCGUCUGGAAAGGCGCGCGAUACAGGGUGACAGCCCCGUACACAAAAAUGCACAUAUUGUGAGCUCGAUGAGUAGGGCGGGACACGUGGUAUCCUGUCUGAAUAUGGGGGGACCAUCCUCCAAGGCUAAAUACUCCUGACUGACCGAUAGUGAACCAGUACCGUGAGGGAAAGGCGAAAAGAACCCCGGCGAGGGGAGUGAAAAAGAACCUGAAACCGUGUACGUACAAGCAGUGGGAGCCUCUUAAUGGGGUGACUGCGUACCUUUUGUAUAAUGGGUCAGCGACUUAUAUUCUGUAGCAAGGUUAACCGAAUAGGGGAGCCGAAGGGAAACCGAGUCUUAACUGGGCGUUAAGUUGCAGGGUAUAGACCCGAAACCCGGUGAUCUAGCCAUGGGCAGGUUGAAGGUUGGGUAACACUAACUGGAGGACCGAACCGACUAAUGUUGAAAAAUUAGCGGAUGACUUGUGGCUGGGGGUGAAAGGCCAAUCAAACCGGGAGAUAGCUGGUUCUCCCCGAAAGCUAUUUAGGUAGCGCCUCGUGAAUUCAUCUCCGGGGGUAGAGCACUGUUUCGGCAAGGGGGUCAUCCCGACUUACCAACCCGAUGCAAACUGCGAAUACCGGAGAAUGUUAUCACGGGAGACACACGGCGGGUGCUAACGUCCGUCGUGAAGAGGGAAACAACCCAGACCGCCAGCUAAGGUCCCAAAGUCAUGGUUAAGUGGGAAACGAUGUGGGAAGGCCCAGACAGCCAGGAUGUUGGCUUAGAAGCAGCCAUCAUUUAAAGAAAGCGUAAUAGCUCACUGGUCGAGUCGGCCUGCGCGGAAGAUGUAACGGGGCUAAACCAUGCACCGAAGCUGCGGCAGCGACACUAUGUGUUGUUGGGUAGGGGAGCGUUCUGUAAGCCUGUGAAGGUGGCCUGUGAGGGUUGCUGGAGGUAUCAGAAGUGCGAAUGCUGACAUAAGUAACGAUAAAGCGGGUGAAAAGCCCGCUCGCCGGAAGACCAAGGGUUCCUGUCCAACGUUAAUCGGGGCAGGGUGAGUCGACCCCUAAGGCGAGGCCGAAAGGCGUAGUCGAUGGGAAACAGGUUAAUAUUCCUGUACUUGGUGUUACUGCGAAGGGGGGACGGAGAAGGCUAUGUUGGCCGGGCGACGGUUGUCCCGGUUUAAGCGUGUAGGCUGGUUUUCCAGGCAAAUCCGGAAAAUCAAGGCUGAGGCGUGAUGACGAGGCACUACGGUGCUGAAGCGACAAAUGCCCUGCUUCCAGGAAAAGCCUCUAAGCAUCAGGUAACAUCAAAUCGUACCCCAAACCGACACAGGUGGUCAGGUAGAGAAUACCAAGGCGCUUGAGAGAACUCGGGUGAAGGAACUAGGCAAAAUGGUGCCGUAACUUCGGGAGAAGGCACGCUGAUAUGUAGGUGAAGCGACUUGCUCGUGGAGCUGAAAUCAGUCGAAGAUACCAGCUGGCUGCAACUGUUUAUUAAAAACACAGCACUGUGCAAACACGAAAGUGGACGUAUACGGUGUGACGCCUGCCCGGUGCCGGAAGGUUAAUUGAUGGGGUUAGCGGUAACGCGAAGCUCUUGAUCGAAGCCCCGGUAAACGGCGGCCGUAACUAUAACGGUCCUAAGGUAGCGAAAUUCCUUGUCGGGUAAGUUCCGACCUGCACGAAUGG